rnacentral:lncRNA from 13 species
AUUCAAAAUGAACUCAAUUAAGUCGAUGACCAUUCAAUCGUCUCUCCGUUUAAUUGAGUUUAUCUUACGAUCAAGUACAAGAAGUAAAGCGGAUGUUUACCUGAAAUCAUUAUUUAUUUCAAGAAAGAACGUGAUCUCAGGCGGGAUUAAUUGCAUAAGAAUUCCGUCGCGCAAGAAACAGGAGUUUGAUAAAAGAGCACAUAUUGACGGAGAUAUUUUCUUCUUUGCCGAAGUUUGAAGGCAGACACCUGAAUCAACAUCGAGUGCCGCGCACUUUCCCGCGAAAGCAGCUCACGUUUUGCGAGGCCGCUGUUGAUUCUGACAGAUUUGCCCGAAAGAGCUGUCAAACAAAACUCGAAACUUUCAGGGAAGAUUCUACUUCGGUAAACGAAACAAAGCCAAAUCUUCUCUAUACAUUACACAUGAUUUCCGAGACAGGAUAGUACAUCAUGGAUUAUGACCUCCGAACUUGUUGGUAAUAAAAGAGACACCCCUCUGUGGCUUUGGAGAGAGCCGGAUCACAGUUUGGAAAUUCUAUAGCGAUAACUCGAUUUAAACUGAGAGUCAACUCCUGCCGCUGAAACAUCGCGAACUGCGUCGGACUUGAAAUUAAUAGUAACUUCUGUGCUCGCGAGCGUAUCCGUUGAGUGCUUUGACUACAUAUACGAAGCAAAAUCUCGACGGUAAUACGGAGGUAAUUUCCAUCGAGGACACUUUGACUCCAAUCAAGUUUGUGCGCCGCGAGCUAGCUUAAAAUUCCGUCGUCUUGAAUAUCUAACUUUUACUAGGUCAUCGCAUGUUUCUUGAAAAAUAUUCAAUGGUUCCUAUAUCUUGAACGUUUUUUAAAACGCGUAUACUUGCAGUGUAGCUUUGGCAUUAACAUGAUUUUAAUUGUCAUAUGUACAUUGUCUCUAAUUAUCUCUUAGGAAAUUAAUAUUAUCGUACAAGAUUUUCUCAAUCGAUUGUGUCAUCAAUUCUACU